AGACCCGAAACCCGGUGAUCUAGCCAUGGGCAGGUUGAAGGUUGGGUAACACUAACUGGAGGACCGAACCGACUAAUGUUGAAAAAUUAGCGGAUGACCUGUGGCUGGGGGUGAAAGGCCAAUCAAACCGGGAGAUAGCUGGUUCUCCCCGAAAGCUAUUUAGGUAGCGCCUCGUGAAUUCAUCUCCGGGGGUAGAGCACUGUUUCGGCUAGGGGGCCAUCCCGGCUUACCAACCCGAUGCAAACUGCGAAUACCGGAGAAUGUUAUCACGGGAGACACACGGCGGGUGCUAACGUCCGUCGUGAAGAGGGAAACAACCCAGACCGCCAGCUAAGGUCCCAAAGUCAUGGUUAAGUGGGAAACGAUGUGGGAAGGCCCAGACAGCCAGGAUGUUGGCUUAGAAGCAGCCAUCAUUUAAAGAAAGCGUAAUAGCUCACUGGUCGAGUCGGCCUGCGCGGAAGAUGUAACGGGGCUAAACCAUGCACCGAAGCUGCGGCAGCGACGCUGAUGCGUUGUUGGGUAGGGGAGCGUUCUGUAAGCCUGCGAAGGUGGCCUGUGAGGGUUGCUGGAGGUAUCAGAAGUGCGAAUGCUGACAUAAGUAACGAUAAAGCGGGUGAAAAGCCCGCUCGCCGGAAGACCAAGGGUUCCUGUCCAACGUUAAUCGGGGCAGGGUGAGUCGACCCCUAAGGCGAGGCCGAAAGGCGUAGUCGAUGGGAAACGGGUUAAUAUUCCCGUACUUGGUGUUACUGCGAAGGGGGGACGGAGAAGGCUAUGUUGGCCGGGCGACGGUUGUCCCGGUUUAAGCGUGUAGGUGUGUGUUCCAGGUAAAUCCGGUUCACUUUAACACUGAGGCGUGAUGACGAGGCACUACGGUGCUGAAGCAACAAAUGCCCUGCUUCCAGGAAAAGCCUCUAAGCAUCAGGUAACAUCAAAUCGUACCCCAAACCGACACAGGUGGUCAGGUAGAGAAUACCAAGGCGCUUGAGAGAACUCGGGUGAAGGAACUAGGCAAAAUGGUGCCGUAACUUCGGGAGAAGGCACGCUGACACGUAGGUGAAGUGAUUUACUCAUGGAGCUGAAGUCAGUCGAAGAUACCAGCUGGCUGCAACUGUUUAUUAAAAACACAGCACUGUGCAAACACGAAAGUGGACGUAUACGGUGUGACGCCUGCCCGGUGCCGGAAGGUUAAUUGAUGGGGUCAGCGCAAGCGAAGCUCCUGAUCGAAGCCCCGGUAAACGGCGGCCGUAACUAUAACGGUCCUAAGGUAGCGAAAUUCCUUGUCGGGUAAGUUCCGACCUGCACGAAUGGCGUAAUGAUGGCCAGGCUGUCUCCACCCGAGACUCAGUGAAAUUGAACUCGCUGUGAAGAUGCAGUGUACCCGCGGCAAGACGGAAAGACCCCGUGAACCUUUACUAUAGCUUGACACUGAACAUUGAGCCUUGAUGUGUAGGAUAGGUGGGAGGCUUUGAAGUGUGGACGCCAGUCUGCAUGGAGCCGGCCUUGAAAUACCACCCUUUAAUGUUUGAUGUUCUAACGUGGACCCGUGAUCCGGGUUGCGGACAGUGUCUGGUGGGUAGUUUGACUGGGGCGGUCUCCUCCUAAAGAGUAACGGAGGAGCACGAAGGUUGGCUAAUCCUGGUCGGACAUCAGGAGGUUAGUGCAAUGGCAUAAGCCAGCUUGACUGCGAGCGUGACGGCGCGAGCAGGUGCGAAAGCAGGUCAUAGUGAUCCGGUGGUUCUGAAUGGAAGGGCCAUCGCUCAACGGAUAAAAGGUACUCCGGGGAUAACAGGCUGAUACCGCCCAAGAGUUCAUAUCGACGGCGGUGUUUGGCACCUCGAUGUCGGCUCAUCACAUCCUGGGGCUGAAGUAGGUCCCAAGGGUAUGGCUGUUCGCCAUUUAAAGUGGUACGCGAGCUGGGUUUAGAACGUCGUGAGACAGUUCGGUCCCUAUCUGCCGUGGGCGCUGGAGAACUGAGGGGGGCUGCUCCUAGU
rnacentral:rRNA from 1 species